rnacentral:rRNA from 1 species
CAAUAGCGUAUAUUAAAGUUGUUGCGGUUAAAAAGCUCGUAGUUGGAUUUCUGUUGAGGAUGGGCGGUCCGCACAUCGUGCGUGUAUCUGUUACAGCCUCGGCAUCCUCUUGAAGAACGAACUGUGAUUUAUUUCGUGGUUCGGAAUUCAAGACUUUUACUUUGAGGAAAUUAGAGUGUUCACGGCAAGCAAUCGCUUUGAAUACAUUAGCAUGGAAUAAUAAUAUAGGAUCGCGAUUCUAUUUUGUUGGUUUCUAGAAUCACGAUAAUGAUUAAUAGGGAUAAUUGGGGGCAUUUGUAUUAACGCGUCAGAGGUGGAAAUUCUUGGAUUGCGUU